AGAGUUUGAUCCUGGCUCAGAACGAACGCUGGCGGCGCGUCUUAACCAUGCAAGUCGAGCGGCAGGCAGCAAUGCCGAGAGCGGCGGACUGGUGAGUAACACGUGGAUAACGUACCCCGAUGUCCGGGACAGCCUGUAGAAAUAGAGGGUAAUACCGGAUAGAUCACUGUUUACGUGAGGUAGACAGCGGGAAAGGAGCUUCGGCUCCGCGCCGGGAACGGUCUGCGGCCCAUCAGCUGGACGGCGGGGUAACGGCCCGCCGUGGCGAGGACGGGUAUCCGGCCUGAGAGGGCGGACGGACACAUUGGGACUGAGAUACGGCCCAGACUCCUACGGGAGGCAGCAGGUAAGAAUAUUCCGCAAUGGGGGGAACCCUGACGGAGCGACGCCGCGUGAACGAAGAAGGCCGGAAGGUUGUAAAGUUCUUUUCUGUCCGAGGAAUAAGUUUCGGAGGAAAUGCCGGGACGGUGACGGUAGGGCAGGAAUAAGCACCGGCUAAUUACGUGCCAGCAGCCGCGGUAACACGUAAGGUGCGAGCGUUGUUCGGAAUUAUUGGGCGUAAAGGGCAUGCAGGCGGGUCGCCAAGCUUGGUAAGAAAUACCGGGGCUCAACUCCGGAGCUAUAUUGAGAACUGGCGAGCUAGAGUUGCCGAAGGGUAUCCGGAAUUCCGCGUGAAGGGGUGAAAUCUGUAGAUAUGCGGAAGAACACCGAUGGCGAAGGCAGGAUACCGGCGGACGACUGACGCUGAGGUGCGAAGGUGAGGGGAGCAAACAGGAUUAGAUACCCUGGUAGUCCGCACAGUCAACUAUGUGCACUAGAU
rnacentral:rRNA from 1 species